CCAGCAGCCGCGGUAAUACAGAGGGUGCAAGCGUUGCUCGGAUUUACUGGGCGUAAAGCGUACGCAGACGGUGAGAAAGGUCGGAUGUGAAAGCCCCGGGCUCAACCUAGGAAUUGCAUUCGAUACUGGCGAGCUAGAGUACGGUAGAGGGCGGCGGAAUUCCGGGUGUAGCGGUGAAAUGCGUAGAUAUCCGGAGGAACACCGAUGGCGAAGGCAACCGCCUGGGCCUGUACUGACGCUGAGACACGAAAGCGUGGGGAGC
rnacentral:rRNA from 1 species